rnacentral:rRNA from 1 species
GUAGUCUCGCACAGAUGCAUAUCAAUAAGCGGAGGAAAAGAAACUAACUAGGAUUCCCUCAGUAACGGCGAGUGAAGCGGGAAGAGCUCAAAUUUGAAAUCUUCAAGGUUCUACCUUGACGAAUUGUAGUUUAAAGAAGUGUUUUCUGCUGGAGUUUUGGUAAAAGUUCUUUGGAAUAGGACAUCAUAGAGGGUGAGAAUCCCGUAUUUGACCAUUAUUUCCAGCUUUGUGAUACACUUUCAAGAGUCGGAUUGUUUGGGAAUGCAGUCCAAAAUGGGUGGUAAAUUUCAUCUAAAGCUAAAUAUUGGCGAGAGACCGAUAGCGAACAAGUACCGUGAGGGAAAGAUGAAAAGAACUUUGAAAAGAGAGUUAAACAGUACGUGAAAUUGUCAAAAGGGAAGCGUUUGACACCAGUGUUGUUUUUCUGAAAAUCAAUUAAAGAACUGUUUAUGCUAAGCUGUUUAGACUUUAUCAGCUAUCUGUUUAGUUUUGAGCUUUUCUUUAAUGCACUUUUCAGUUAACAAGUCAACAUCAAUUUCUUUUGCUGUAAAAAAGCUUGAGGAAGGUGGCUUGAGAUUCGUCUUAAGUGUUUAUAGCCUCUUAGCCUAUGCAGUCGGAGAGAUUGAGGUCUGCAGCGUAGAUCCUUCGGGGCUAAAUGCAUUUGUGCUAAGUUAUAGCAUUUCAUAGACAACUUGUUGACUAUGAUCAGUCAUGUAGCUUACUCGCUUAUGCUAUUUUACCUACGCUUAGGAUGUUGAAGUCAUCGUAUCGCGC